rnacentral:rRNA from 1 species
UACGGAGGGGGCUAGCGUUGUUCGGAAUUACUGGGCGUAAAGCGCGUGUAGGCUGCUUCGCAAGUCGGAUGUGAAAGCCCUGGGCUCAACCCAGGAAGUGCAUUCGAAACUGCAAAGCUGGAGUCCUGGAGAGGAAGGCGGAAUUCCUGGUGUAGCGGUGAAAUGCGUAGAUAUCAGGAGGAACACCGGUGGCGAAGGCGCACAUCUGGCCCGAUACUGACGCUGAGGCGCGAAAGCUAGGGGAGCAAACGGG